CACCCAUGUCUUUUGCGCACUUGUUGUUUCCUGGGCGGGUUUGCCCGCCACCAGGACCAAACCAUAAACCUUUUUUUUUAUGCAGUUACCAUCAGCGUCAGUAAAAACAAUGUAAUUAAUUACAACUUUCAACAACGGAUCUCUUGGUUCUGGCAUCGAUGAAGAACGCAGCGAAAUGCGAUACGUAGUGUGAAUUGCAGAAUUCAGUGAAUCAUCGAAUCUUUGAACGCACAUUGCGCCCUUUGGUAUUCCAAAGGGCAUGCCUGUUCGAGCGUCAUUUGUACCUUCAAGCUUUGCUUGGUGUUGGGCGUUUUUGUCUCCCUCUUUCUGGGAGACUCGCCUUAAAACGAUUGGCAGCCGGCCUACUGGUUUCGGAGCGCAGCACAUAAUUUGCGCUUUGUAUCAGGAGAAAAGGACGGUAAUCCAUCAAGACUCUAGAUUUUUAACUUUUGACCUCGGAUCAGGUAGGGAUACCCGCUGAACUUAAGCAUAUCAU
rnacentral:rRNA from 1 species